rnacentral:rRNA from 1 species
CACGUAGGGCGCGAGCGUUGUCCGGAAUUAUUGGGCGUAAAGAGCUCGUAGGCGGCCUGUUGCGUCCGCUGUGAAAGCCCGGGGCUUAACCCCGGGUCUGCAGUGGAUACGGGCAGGCUAGAGUGCGGUAGGGGAGAUUGGAAUUCCUGGUGUAGCGGUGGAAUGCGCAGAUAUCAGGAGGAACACCGAUGGCGAAGGCAGAUCUCUGGGCCGUAACUGACGCUGAGGAGCGAAAGCAUGGGGAGCGAACAGG